rnacentral:rRNA from 1 species
UGCCGUAACUUCGGGAGAAGGCACGCUGGCGCUAGGUGAAGUGGUUUACCCAUGGAGCUGAAGCCAGUCGCAGAUACCAGCUGGCUGCAACUGUUUAUUAAAAACACAGCACUGUGCAAACACGAAAGUGGACGUAUACGGUGUGACGCCUGCCCGGUGCUGGAAGGUUAAUUGAUGGGGUUAUCCGUAAGGAGAAGCUCUUGAUCGAAGCCCCAGUAAACGGCGGCCGUAACUAUAACGGUCCUAAGGUAGCGAAAUUC